rnacentral:lncRNA from 1 species
CUAUGAUGCCAACUAUUCUAUGAAGUUUGAUGAUAUCUACUCUAAUUUAAGAAAUAUAUAAGAUUCUUCUCAAAGAUACUCUUGAAGAUUUGAUUAAGAAUAUAAAAGAAUUGAGGGAAGAGAUGAUUGAAUUCAAGAAAAGCCAUAGAGUUAUAUCUUUAUGUAAAUCUAAGGAAUCAAAGGAAUUUUUUAAGAAAUCCAUGUAUUAUGAUAGUCUUGAGCAUGAGAGGUAAAAUUACUCUAAUUAUGAUGAAGACUUAAAAAAAAGAAGUUUCUUCAAAGAACGUAGAAUGAGACUCAUUGUUAUGAGCCAAGCUUUGGAGCUCAAUUUUGGAAGAAGAGGUAUAAAAAAGCUUGAAGAAGAUUAUGUAGCGAGUGCAAGUGGAUUGCAUGUCAAAGAAACUGA